rnacentral:rRNA from 1 species
AUUGAACGCUGGCGGCAGGCCUAACACAUGCAAGUCGAGCGGAUGAAGGGAGCUUGUUCCUGGCUUCAGCGGCGGGCGGGUGGGUAAUGACUAGGAAUCUGCCUGGUAGUGGGGGAUAAGGUCAGUUAAGGGGAGCUAAUACCGCAUACGUCCUGAGGGUGAACGUGGGGGAUCUUUGGACAUAAAGCGUUCAGAUGAGCCUAAGUCGGGUUAGCUAGUUGGAGGGGUAAAGGCCUACCAAGGCGACGAUCCGUAACUGAUCUGAGAGGAUGAUCAGUCACACUGGAACUGAGACACGGUCCAGACUCCUACGGGAGGCAGCAGUGGGGAAUAUUGGACAAUGGGCGAAAGCCUGACCCAGCCACGCCGCGUGUGUGAAGAAGGUCUUCGGAUUGUAAAGCACUUUUAGUUGGGAGGAAGAGCAGUAUGUUAAUAUCUUGCUGUCUUGACGGUACCAAAAGAAUAAGCACCGGCUAACUUCGUG